UAGCCGACCUGAGAGGGUGACCGGCCACAUUGGGACUGAGACACGGCCCAAACUCCUACGGGAGGCAGCAGUGGGGAAUAUUGCACAAUGGGGGAAACCUUGAUGCAGCGACGCCGCGUGAGCGAUGAAGUAUUUCGGUAUGUAAAACUCUAUCAGCAGGGAAGAAAAUGACGUACCUGACUAAGAAGCCCCGGCUAACUAC
rnacentral:rRNA from 1 species